AGAUUGCUUUCGAUGAGAGUGGAGCACGGGUGUUUAACACGUAUGUAACCUACCUUGUUCUGGGGGAUACCCUCUCGAAAGAGAGAUUAAGACCGCAUAAUGUUAUUGAAUGGCAUCGUUUAGUAACCAACUAUUUAUAGGAUGGAUAUGGGCAUGCGGAACAUUCUUGUUUUGGUAAGGUAACGGCUUACCAAGGCUACCAUGUUUAGGGGAUCUGAGAGGAUGACCCCCCACACUGGUACUGAGACACGGACCAAACUCCUACGGGAGGCAGCAGUAAGGAAUAUUGGUCAAUGGGCGGAAGCCUGAACCAGCCAUGCCGCGUGCAAUAACACGGCCCUAUGGGUUGUAAACUGCUUUUAUACGGGAAUAAACCUACUUACGUGUAAGUAGCUGAAUGUACUGUAAGAAUAAGGAUCGGCUAACUCCGUGCCAUCAGCCGCGGUAAUACUGAGGAUCCAAUCGUUAUCCGGAUUUAUUGGGUUUAAAGGGUGCGUAGGUGGCUUUUUAAGUCACGCGUGAAAGACUGCACCUUAAC
rnacentral:rRNA from 2 species